UGGGGAAUAUUGCACAAUGGGGGAAACCCUGAUGCAGCGACGCCGCGUGAACGAAGAAGGUAUUCGUAUCGUAAAGUUCUGUCCUAUGGGAAGAUAAUGACAGUACCAUAGAAGAAAGCUCCGGCUAAAUACGCGCCAGCAGCCGCGGUAAUACGUAUGGAGCGAGCGUUGUCCGGAAUUAUUGGGCGUAAAGGGUACGCAGGCGGUUUAAUAAGUCGAAUGUUAAAGAUCGGGGCUCAACCCCGUAAAGCAUUGGAAACUGAUAAACUUGAGUAGUGGAGAGGAAAGUGGAAUUCCUAGUGUAGUGGUGAAAUACGUAGAUAUUAGGAAGAAUACCAGUAGCGAAGGCGACUUUCUGGACACAAACUGACGCUGAGGUACGAAAGCGUGGGGAGCAAACAGG
rnacentral:rRNA from 1 species